rfam:Cucumber necrosis virus defective interfering RNA isolate C62.
GGUCUCCGAGGAGGUCGGGGUUGCCCACCGUUUGAUACUACAACGGUGCGAAGCUCCGUACUUACACGCGGGCU